rnacentral:rRNA from 1 species
CCUACGGGAGGCAGCAGUGGGGAAUAUUGCACAAUGGGGGAAACCCUGAUGCAGCAACGCCGCGUGAGUGAAGAAGUAUUUCGGUAUGUAAAGCUCUAUCAGUAGGGAAGAAGAAAGACGGUACCUGACUAAGAAGCCCCGGCUAACUACGUGCCAGCAGCCGCGGUAAUACGGAGGGGGCAAGCGUUAUCCGGAUUUACUGGGUGUAAAGGGAGCGUAGACGGCUGUGCAAGUCUGAUGUGAAAGCCCGGGGCUCAACCGCGGAACUGCAUUGGAAACUGUGUGGCUGGAGUACUGAAGAGGCAGGCGGAAUUGUAGGUGUAGCGGUGAAAUGCGUAGAUAUAAGGAGGAACACCAGUGGCGAAGGCGGGUUGCUGGACGGAAACGGACGUUGAGGCUCGAAAGCGUGGGGAGCAAACAGGAUUAGAUACCCGAGUAGUC